AUUGAACACUGGCGGCAGGCCUAACACAUGCAAGUCGAACGGUAGCACAGAGAGCUUGCUCUCGGGUGACGAGUGGCGGACGGGUGAGUAAUGUCUGGGAAACUGCCCGAUGGAGGGGGAUAACUACUGGAAACGGUAGCUAAUACCGCAUAACGUCGCAAGACCAAAGUGGGGGACCUUCGGGCCUCACACCAUCGGAUGUGCCAGAUGGGAUUAGCUAGUAGGUGGGGUAAUGGCUCACCUAGGCGACGAUCCCUAGCUGGUCUGAGAGGAUGACCAGCCACACUGGAACUGAGACACGGCCCAGACUCCUACGGGAGGCAGCAGUGGGGAAUAUUGCACAAUGGGCGCAAGCCUGAUGCAGCCAUGCCGCGUGUAUGAAGAAGGCCUUCGGGUUGUAAAGUACUUUCAGCGGGGGGGAAGGCGGUGAAGUUAAUAACUUCACCGAUUGACGUUACCCGCAGAAGAAGCACCGGCUAACUCCGUGCCAGCCGCCGCGGUAA
rnacentral:rRNA from 1 species